rnacentral:rRNA from 1 species
UACGGGGGGAGCAAGCGUUGUUCGGAUUUACUGGGCGUAAAGGGCGCGUAGGCGGUCAGCACAAGUCAGUUGUGAAAUCUCCGGGCUUAACCCGGAAAGGUCAACUGAUACUGUGCGACUAGAGUGCGGAAGGGGCAACUGGAAUUCUCCGGUGUAGCGGUGAAAUGCGUAGAUAUCGAGAGGAACACCUGCGGCGAAGGCGGGUUGCUGGGCCGACACUGACGCUGAUGCGCGAAAGCCAGGGGAGCGAACGGG